AACGAACGCUGGCGGCAGGCCUAACACAUGCAAGUCGAGCGAGGACUUCGGUUCUAGCGGCGGACGGGUGUGUAACGCGUGGGAAUGUGCCCUUCUCUACGGAAUAGCCCUGGGAAACUGGGAGUAAUACCGUAUACGCCCUAUUGGGGAAAGAUUUAUCGAAGAAGGAUCAGCCCGCGUUGGAUUAGGUAGUUGGUGGGGUAAUGGCCUACCAAGCCGACGAUCCAUAGCUGGUUUGAGAGGAUGAUCAGCCACACUGGGACUGAGACACGGCCCAGACUCCUACGGGAGGCAGCAGUGGGGAAUCUUGGAAAAUGGCGUCAAUCCUGAUGUAGCCAGGCUGGGUGAGUGAUGAAGGCCUGAGGGUUGUAAAGCGCUUGCAGCUGGGAAGAUAAUGACGGUACCAGCAGAAGAAGCCCCGGCUAACUCCGUG
rnacentral:rRNA from 1 species